UCAAGCUGGCAAGAGGUGGGAUACACCCUGAACUGGUAGCCAGCCAAUCGCAGGACACAUCGAGACAGACAGCAGUCGCACUCACAAUCACACCUAGGGGCAAUUUAGAGUGUCCAAAUAAUGUUGCAUAUUUUUGGGAUGUAGGAGGAAACCAGAGUGCCCGGAGAAAACACAUGCAGGCAUGGGGAAAACAUGCAAAUUCCACACAGGAGGGUCCAGGAUCCAACCCGGGACCUCAGAACUGUGAGGGCACCGCUUUCCAGUGAUCACCAUUUGCCUUCUUCAGAGACGUUUGACAGCACCUGACGUGCCAGCACGCAGAUUUGACAGCCAGCAUGUGCAUAAAGCCCAGCGACACCAACACUGAACAAUAGGAGCAUCUGAUUGGCCCAUUGGCCCAACAGCAGCACCUGGUAUUCCUAGGCACUCUCCCAUCCAGGUACUAAUCAGACCUACCGUGCUUAGUUUCUGAGAUUGAAUGAGAUCAGGCAGCUCAAAUCGCUUCAAAUAUGAUGUAGGCUAAAUGCUUGUCUGGCCUUUUCCUCCCUUCAAUGUCUCCUUUCUCAUUGGGCCAAUCGACUUGCACUGUGUCCAUAUCUGGGGGCUGCCCCUUCAUAGGUAAAAUAACUAAUUUCCACUGCAUCAUUUUAGAGCGCCACAUAGGGAUCUAAUAUGGAAAUGUAUAGGACAGUCCAUCCAUCCAUCCAUCCAUCCAUCCAU